rnacentral:rRNA from 1 species
GACGGACGCUGGCGGCGUGCUUAACACAUGCAAGUCGAACGGUAAGGCCCUUCGGGGUACACGAGUGGCGAACGGGUGAGUAACACGUGGGUGAUCUGCCCUGCACUUCGGGAUAAGCCUGGGAAACUGGGUCUAAUACCGGAUAGGACUCCGGACUGCAUGGUCUGGGGUGGAAAGCUUUUGCGGGGUGGGAUGGGCCCGCGGCCUAUCAGCUUGUUGGUGGGGUGAUGGCCUACCAAGGCGACGACGGGUAGCCGGCCUGGAAGGGUGACCGGCCACACUGGGACUGGGAUACGGGCCAGACUCCUACGGGAGGCAGCAGUGGGGAAUAUUGCACAAUGGGCGCAAGCCUGAUGCAGCGACGCCGCGUGAGGGAUGACGGCCUUCGGGUUGUAAACCUCUUUCAGCAUCGACGAAGCGAAAGUGACGGUAGGUGCAGAAGAAGGACCGGCCAACUACGUGCCAGCCGCCGCAGUAA